rnacentral:misc_RNA from 1 species
UUUCCGUAGGUGAACCUGCGGAAGGAUCAUUAUUGAUUGGCCUCACGGCCUCAUCAUAAUUCCAAUAACCACUGUGAACCGUUUGACCCUCUUCAUUGAGGUUGUCAAUUUUUAUACCAAUACUAUGUGUAAUGAAUGUGAUCUAUUGAAACAAAAACAAAACUUUCAACAACGGAUCUCUUGGCUCUCGCAUCGAUGAAGAACGCAGC